rnacentral:rRNA from 1 species
AGUGAACGCUGGCGGUAGGCCUAACACAUGCAAGUCGAACGGCAGCACAGUAAGAGCUCGCUCUUACGGGUGGCGAGUGGCGGACGGGUGAGGAAUACAUCGCAAACUACUUUUUCGUGGGUGAUAACGUAGGGAAACUUACGCUAAUACCGCAUACGUCCUACGGGUGAAAGCAGGGGAUCUUCGGACCUUGCGCGAUUGAAUGAGCUGAUGUCGGAUUAGCUAGUUGGCGGGGUAAAGGCCCACCAAGGCGACGAUCCGUAGCUGGUCUGAGAGGAUGAUCAGCCACACUGGAACUGAGACACGGUCCAGACUCCUACGGGAGGCAGCAGUGGGGAAUAUUGGACAAUGGGCGCAAGCCUGAUCCAGCCAUACCGCGUGGGUGAAGAAGGCCUUCGGGUUGUAAAGCCCUUUUGUUGGGAAAGAAAAGCAGCAGGUUAAUACCCCGCUGUUCUGACGGUACCCAAAGAAUAAGCACCGGCUAACUUCGUG